rnacentral:rRNA from 1 species
GACGAACGCUGGCGGCGUGCUUAACACAUGCCAGUCGAACGGGAUCCGGGCUUUCGGGUUUGGUGAGAGUGGCGAACGGGUGAGUAACACGUGAGUAACCUGCCCCCUUCUUUGGGAUAACGUCGGGAAAUCGGCGCUAAUACUGGAUAUUCUUGCUGCAUCGCAUGGUGUGGUUUGGAAAGGGUUUCUGGUGGGGGAUGGGCUCGCGGCCUAUCAGCUUGUUGGUGGGGUGAUGGCCUACCAAGGCUUUGACGGGUAGCCGGCCUGAGAGGGUGUCCGGCCACACUGGGACUGAGACACGGCCCAGACUCCUACGGGAGGCAGCAGUGGGGAAUAUUGCACAAUGGGCGCAAGCCUGAUGCAGCGACGCCGCGUGAGGGAUGACGGCCUUCGGGUUGUAAACCUCUUUCAGUAUGGAACAAGGAUCCUUCUUUUGGGGGGUUUGAGGGUACGUGCAGAAGAAGCGCCGGCUAACUACGUG